rnacentral:rRNA from 1 species
CUUAAGCAUAUCAAUAAGCGGAGGAAAAGAAACCAACAGGGAUUGCCUCAGUAACGGCGAGUGAAGCGGCAAAAGCUCAAAUUUGAAAUCUGGUACCUCUGGUGCCCGAGUUGUAAUUUGAAGAUAGUUUUCUGGUAUUGGGCCCUUGUCUAUGUUCCUUGGAACAGGACGUCAUAGAGGGUGAGAAUCCCGUCUGGCGGGGCGCCCUUUGCUAUGUAGAUUUCUAUCGACGAGUCGAGUUGUUUGGGAAUGCAGCUCUAAGUGGGUGGUAAAUUCCAUCUAAAGCUAAAUAUUGGCGAGAGACCGAUAGCGAACAAGUACAGUGAUGGAAAGAUGAAAAGAACUUUGAAAAGAGAGUGAAAAAGUACGUGAAAUUGUUGAAAGGGAAGGAUAUUGGAUCAGACUUGGUGUUGCAUGAUUAUCUUCCCCUUGUGGGUUGUGCACUCGUGCUUCACUGGGCCAGCAUCGGUUCGGACGGCAAGAUAAUGACAUUGGGAACGUGGCUCUUUCUUCGGUUAGAGUGUUAUAGCCCAUGUUGAUGUUGCCUGCCUGGACCGAGGACUGCGGCUUCGGCCUAGGAUGCUGGCGUAAUGAUUCAAUAUCGCCCGUCUUG